rnacentral:lncRNA from 1 species
GAGUGAGUACCCGCAAAUGUCACUCCGACGCUCAAGUCAGUGUUUGUGCAGCGUACUCUUAGUGUUCAAUUGAAUUUCUUGUACUUUUGCUAGAGGUCUACCCGGGUUUUUAUAGCGCUUCGAGUUCUUGGGUUUAUCCCCACUUCCCUAGCUUUGUGCAUCCUGUCCUUCACCUCAUGGUAAUGGGAUCAUAUGGGCGAUUUGUGUCUCCCUCGCUCCGCACUUCUCUAGUGGGAGGGAAGUUUGAUCAUCCCACGUCUUUUAGUUGUGACAUAUGGGUUAAGCCUAGAUACGUGAUAUUUGGUCCCCACAGACCCAAAAAUAUGAUUCCUAUUGGCCCAUCACCAACCCAUGCAUGUUGCUUUCACACCUUGCAUGUGAAAUAUCCAAAUAUGAAUUUUCAUGCAAGUUGCUAACUUUUCAAGUUUCAACUGUGGACUGUUAUCCCCACGUGGAGUAUCCAAGUGUGGACAGCCAAUCCCAUCCGUAAGUGGACCAUUUUCUUUAUUUUGGGUUUCUACACCUCUGCCAAUUUGGUAGGCCCAUGCACAUUUUCCUCUUUGCUAACCGACCCCAGUUAGGGUGCGCUUGGCUUUAAGCUUUUGUCAAUCCGGUGGGCCCCAUGAUCCUUGCUUUCUCUUUGCUUGGUUAUGAGCUUUUGCCAAUCUGGUAGGCCUCAUGCUCCUUGCUUUCUCUUUCUUAGCCGAUCCCAAAUGGAUUGGGGUACGCCUGGUUUUAAGCUUUUGCCGAUCCGGUGAUUCCCAUGCCUCUUGGUUUCUCUUUGCUAGCUAAUCCCAACCCCAGUUGGGGUGCGCUUGGUUUUGAGCUUUUGCCAAUCCAGUGGGUCUCAUGCCUCUUGGUUUCUCUUUGCUAGCCAAUCCCAACCCCAGUUGGGGUGCGCUUGGUUUGAGCUUUUGCCAAUCCGGUAGGCCCCAUACUCCUUGCUUUAUCUUUCCUAGCCGAUCCCAAAUGGAUUGGGGUUUGCCUGGUUUUAAGCUUUUACCGAUCCGGUAGGUCCCAUGCCUCUUGGUUUCUCUUUGCUAGCCGAUCCCAACCCCAGUUGGGGUGCGCUUGGUUUUGAGCUUUUGCCAAUUCGGUGGGUCCCAUGCCUCUUGGUUUCUCUUUGCUAGCCAAUCCCAACCCCAGUUGGGGUGCGCUUGGUUUUGAGCUUUUACCAAUCUAAUGGGCCUCGUGCUCCUUGCUUUCUCUUUGCUAGCCGAUCCCAAAUGGAUUCCAAUACCCUAGAGUUGUCCUUCCAUACCCGUGCGCCUUCGGUUCCUCAACUGAUCUAAGGUGUCCAUGACCCUUUUUUUUUUCCUUGCACUUGAGCCGUCCAUAUGGGCCCCAAUACCCCUUAGCUGUCCUUCCGGACCCGUGCGCCUUCGGUUUCUCAGCCAAUCAAAGGUGUUCACGAUCUUUUUUUUUCCUUCUUCCCCUUUCUUCCUUUUUCCUUGCGCUUGAGCUAUCCAUGUGGGCCCCAAUACCCUUUAGCGGUCCUUCCGGACCAGUGCGCCUUCGGUCUCUCAACUGAUCCAAGGUGUUCACGACCUUAUUUUAUUUUUUUUUCUUUUUUUCUUUUUUCUUUUUCCUUUUUUUCCUUGCACUUGAGUCGUCCAUGCGGGCCUCAAUACCCCUUAGAUAUCCUUCCGGACUCAUGCGCCUUCAGUUUCUCAACCAAUCCAAAGUGUUCACGACCUUUUUCUUUUUCUUUUUUUUUUCCUUCUUCCCAUUUGUUCCUUUUUCCUUGCGCUUGAGCUGUCCAUGCGGGCCCCAAUACCCCUUAGCUGUCCUUCCGGACCCAUCCGCCUUUGAUCUCUCAACCGAUCUAAGGUGUUCACGACCUUUUUUUUUUUUUUUUCCUUUUUCCUUUUUUUUUUUGGCACUUAAGCCUCCCAUGUAGGCCCCAAUACCCCUUAGCUGUCCUUCCGGACCCAUGUGCUUUCGGUUUCUCAACCGAUCCAAGGUGUUCACGACCUCUUUUUUUUUGUUUUUUCCUUCUUCCCCAUUCUUCCUUUUUCCUUGCGCUUGAGCUGUCCAUGCGAGCCCAAUACCCCUUAGCUGUCCUUCCGGACCCAUGCGCCUUCGGUCUCUCAACCGAUCCAAGGUGUUCACAACUUUUUUUUUUUCCUUUUUCCUUUUUUGUUCUUGCACUUGAGCUGUCCAUGCGGGCCCCAAUACCCCUUAGCUGUCCUUCCGGACCCCGUGCGCCUUCGGUUUCUUAACCGAUUUAAGGUGUUCACGACCUUUUUUUUUUCCUUCUUCUCCUUUCUUCCUUUUUCCUUGCACUUGAGCUGUCCAUGCGGGCCCUAAUAUCGCUUAGCUGUCCUUCCGAACCCGUACGCCUUCGGUCUCUUAACCAAUCCAAGGUAUUCACGACUUUUUUUUUUCUUUUUCUUCUUCUUUUCCUUUUUUUUUUCUAUAUACCAAAUGAAAUGAAAGUCUAGCAUUAUUGAUACUAGACUUUAUGGUGGAUGUGGAAAUUCAAUACUUGACAAAUUACAAAAGCUAGAUGAAAGCCUUCCCACCAACGUAUAUAGGAGACUAAAUUUAAAAAAAUUGCAAGGAAACCGAAGUCAUACUUGUUACGCAAUCAAGUUUACUUGUAAUACAUGGGAUUUCCGAAGUCUAAAUUAAGACCUGGAUUGGCGGGACUAGAACUUCACUAAGAGGUGGUCCUAUUUUAGUCUUCCUAAAAUCAAGGUCGUAAUUAAGUCCAGCCCAAAUUAAGAUCCAAAAACAUGCGAGAAACGAGCACUCUUCAUUUUCAACCACCAAAUCUUCUUUCUAUUCACUUCUUCAAGACAUUCUAUCUCUUGUCGGCAACACUACUACAUUUUACACUUUGUGCGACUAAGAGAAUUUCGUCGCGCAAAAUACAUUGUAGUUGCACAAAUUUCAGCGCGACCGAAACUUUGUCGAGCAGAAUCCGUCGCACAAAGAUUGUGAAGAAAGACUUUGCACGACCAAGUUUUUUCAUUGGUCGCGCAAAGUCACUUUGUGCGAUGAAAAAAUAUUGGUUGCGCAAAGUUUUGCGGGACGAAAAACAUUGGUCGCGCAAAGGUUUGCGCCACGAAACACAUUGGUUGCGCGAAGGUUUGCGCAACGAAACACAUUGAUCGCGCAAAGUUUUGCGCAACAAAAACAUUGGUCGCGCAAAGUCUUAAAAAAAUUAUAAAAAUAAAAAAUUCCCGCUUCCCAUUUUUGGUACCCGCCCAAAUUUGUAGAGUUUUGCGCAACGAAUACUAACGUCGCGCAAAUAUUUGUGAGACGAAAUAUUUUUUGUGUUUUAAAUUUUUUUAAUUAAAAUAAACUAAUUUAAUAGUUUGCGCAACAAAAUAUUUUGUCGCGCCAGGUUUUUGACUUUUUGUUUUAAUAUUUCUUUAAUAUUAAUUUAAUUAUAUUAAUUUAUUCAAAUUUUUACUUUUUAAAUUUAAUUUAAUUGUAUGAUUUUUUUAAAUUACUUUUAUUUAAAUUGACAUAUUCAAAAUAAAAUUAUAUAUGAAAAAUAGUGAUCAAAUUAUCCAAUAAAUAAAUAAAUAUAUAUAUAUAAUAUUCAAAAUGUACACAUAAAUGAACACAGUAUAAUAAUAAAAUCCUAAUACAAGCAUAUUGUGGUGGUAGUGGCGGAGGAUAUGUUUUGAUAGCUUCCUAAUCCUCAACUUUAGCCGUCAAAGUCUCAAUGAUUCCCUACAAAAAAAUAAAUAUGGUCAAAUAACAAAAAAAUAAUAAUAAUAAAAAAGAAGAAGGCAUAAUCUCCCCUAAAAUUGUUAUACCACAAAUCCAACCCAAACUUUAGUCCCUCCCUUUUACUCAACCCCAAACCCCAUACAAACUCAAAACUAACUCAAAAAACACAUAUUAAUGAAAAAAUUUUAAAAUUUAGAGAGAAUAUACCUUUUGGCAAGAUUGAGAGUGAGUGAGAAUGAGAGGGAGAAGUCGGUGUGAGAGAAUUAGAGAAGAUAGUGAUAGAGAGAUGAGAGAGUGAGUGAGAGUGAGAGAUACUGAAAAGAGAGAUGAGAGAGUGAGUGAGAGUGAGAGAUAAUGAAGAGAAAAAUGAGAGAUUAAGUGAGAGGAGUGAGUGUGAGAGAAAGGGUGGGAUUUGGGGAGAGGGAAAGAGAGAGGAGAGGUAAGAGUAGAGAAAGACAUUGAGAAAAUGGUGGAGGAGUUAUUUCGGUUUUAAAAACCGUAUCACUUUACGCGACGAAAAAUAUUGUUGGUCGCGCAAAUUUUUGCGCGACGAAAAAUAUUGGAAUAUUGGUCGUGCAAAGUUUUGGGCGACGAGACAUAUUUGUCGAGCAAAAGUUUUACGUGACGAAUAUAGGAAUAUAGGUCGUGCAAAGUCUAAAAAAAAUUAUUAAAAAAAGAAAAAAAUUCUAGCAUCCCAUUUUUGGUACCCCCAAAAAUUUUACAUUUUUGCACAACGAAAAAUACAUAUUGGUCACGCAAAGUCUAAAAAAAUUAUAUAAAAAAAUUCCCGCGUCCCAUUUUUGGUACCCGCUCAAAUUUUUGCGCGACGAAAAAUAUACAUUGGUCGCGCAAAGUCUAAAAAUAUAUAUAUAUUUUAAAUCCCGCAUCCCAUUUUUGGUACCCACCCAAAUUUUUAGAGUUUUGUGCGACGAACUGCUGGUCGUGCAAACUUUUGAGAGACGAAAAAUUGGUUCGUACCACAAUAUUUAUAAAAAUAAUUGUUAUGAAUAAUAAAAAAUAAAAAUAAUUUUAUUGUAUGAUUUAAAAUAUAAAUAAGGUUAAAGCUACUUAAAAUAUAUAUAUAUAUACUAUUCAAUUUCUUAAAUGUUAUACGUACAAAAUAAAUAAAUUUAAAGCUACUUAAUAAAUAAAUAAAUAUAUAUAUACACAUACCAUUCAACGAUCCAACCGUCAGACUUGUUUGUAUAUACUUCAAGAUCGUAUACCCCAAAAAUCACAAAAAACAAACAUUCAGAGAUCUAGUAACGGGACAAAACUGUUCGAUGGUUAUAAAUGAAAAAUCACGAUUCGACGGUUAUUUUAACUCCGAUUUGGAUGAUUUUUUUACAGCUACACUCCUUGACCCUGUAUGAAUACAAUGACUGAAUUUGAUCUUCAAUUUAAAAUAUUUACACUAGUGGAUACCAAAAAAUCUUAUGUUAUAUUUAACGAAAGUAUAAAUAAAUUCUUAAUUGUUAGUGAAUAAAUUGUUUUGAAGGCAUACGCAUUCUACGAAACUAGUUUCAACGAUUCAACCGUCAAACUUGUUUGUUUAUACUUCGAGAUCAUAUACGCCAAAAAUUGGAAAAAAUAAACAUUUAGAGAUCAAGUAAAGGGACAAAACUUUUCGACGGUUAUAAAUGAAAGAUCAUGAUUUAACGGUUAUUUGAACUCCGAUUUUGAUGAUGUUUUACAGCUAUACUCCUUGACCCUAUAUGAAUACAAUGACUGAAUUUGAUCUUCAAUUUAAAAUAUUUACACUAGUGGAUACCCCAAAAUCUUAUGUUAUAUUUAACGAAAGUAUAAAUAAACUCUUAAUUGUUAGUGAAUAUAUUGUUUUGAUGGCAUACGCAUUCUACGAAACUAGUUUCAACGAUCCAACCGUCAAACUUGUUUGUUUAUACUUCGAGAUCAUAUACGCCAAAAAUCGGAAAAAAUAAACAUUCAUAGAUCAAGUAAUGGGACAAAAAUUUUCGACGGUUAUAAUGAAAAAUCAUGAUUUAACAGUUAUUUUAACUCCGAUUUUGAUGAUUUUUUACAGCUACACUCCUUGACCCUAUAUGAAUACAAUGAACUAAUUCGAUCGUCAUUGAACCAAGUCUUUUUUCAUUAAAGAGAUUUUAAAAAAUAAAUUUUUUAUUUUAUUUAUUUUUAUUAGGACUUUGUGCGACGAAGUUUAUUAUUUUGUGGCGCAAAGUCACUUUGAGUGACGAUAUAUUGUUGUCGCGCAAAGUCACUUUGCAUGACGAAUUAUUUUUCGUUGCGCAAAAUUUUGUCGCGCAGACUUUGAGUGACGAUUUAUUCUCGUCGCGCAAAGUCACUUUGCGCGACGAAUUGCUUUUCGUCGUACAAAAUUUGGUCGAGCAAGACUGUGAGCGAUGAAGUUUUGAGUUUUGUUGCGCAAAGUGACUUUGAGCGACGAAUAAUUUUUCGUCACACAAAAUUUAGUCGCGCAUGGGGUUUUUUUUAUUAGUGCAAGCUACUUGCUUCGAGUGCUAUUGGUGGGACUUCUGCUCAUUGUAGAAGGUGGGAGAAUGGCGAUUCAAGUAAAAAAAAUCUGCACUUUUGUUGCAUCAAGCAAAUUGGCUUUUGUGAUUUCAUCCGUGAAAGUAGUUUUCCGUGAUUUUUCUAGGUUUCUUUUUACAUCUUCUGGUGUAAGUCAUUAAAUUUCUAUAUGAAGAAGUUAGUUUUGUGUUUGUGAGUGUGUUGGAAUAUGAAGAAGUUAGUUUAUAAUUUUGUAAUUAACAAGUUUGUUUUUCUUAUUUUGUUUUUUUUUUAUGAAGCAUAGAAAACCCAUUAUCGAGAUUUCGUCAAUAUAGGUAGAUGCUACUCUUUAUUGCACAUUUGUGAGAUUUUAAAAAUUCCAACAAUUUGACAUUGGGAGAUUCAAGCCCCUUCUACCAAAGAAUUGCCACCAGACCUUUCCACCAAUAAAUUGCCAUCAGACCUUUCUACCGAUUGAGCUGAAACUUGACUUGUUAAAUGCAUUCACAACUAACUCUUUAAAUUAUUUCUUAAAAUAAAUUUUAGAAAAGAGUUGAAAAAAUACAACUUCAACCAUGCUCUCUAUUCUUAAAACAAGCUCAACUCUAAAACCUCAUUAAAAAAAACUCAAAACAAUUAAUAGGGUAUGAAAGUAAUUUAAUGAUCAAACGUAAAUUAAUUUGUAAAUAAAUAAAUCAUAACCAUACUGAAUAAUGGCAAGUGGCGAUUUCUUAGUGGAAGUGAGCCCAUUAUUCUUCUAUAAAGGACUGAUAAGCUAACAAUAUGAAGCCAAGGUGAAAAUAUGUCUACCGGCCACCUAUUUCUGAAGCCUUCGAUUGGUGAUCAGAAGAAGCACGGUUCUUCUGAGGAUUCUAAAGCGAGCAUCGACCAAGAAAACAGCAACAGCUCGAGAAUGAGUGCCACUCUGCAGCCCGAGAAUGAGACUAGUAAGCGAAAAACAAACAAGGGCAGAAGAGGCAGUAAUGGCUUCAGCAUCGUUGGGAAUACAAUCCCCUUUUUUCUCCACCUCUCUAUGCCCUUUUGGCUUCAUUUUUGUUGUUGUGGAUUUUGGUAAAUGAGUUGAUCCAAUCUGAUCUCAGUUGUUCUGGGUAAAUGAAUUGUAUUUAGAUCAGACGUUCGAUGUAAGUCUCAAUCUCUUUGAUUGUAUUGGUUCCGUAAUUUGAUGCGUUUUAAUUUUUAAUGUUGUGUGUAUUUUCUUUAAAAUAAUUAUUUAUUGAAAUUCAAAAUUAAUUAUUUGUUAUUUUUAUAUUUAAUUUUAAUUUAUUAAAUAGUGAUUGAUAUUUCUUUUUAUAAAAAUAAUAUUGAUUUUAUUAUACCAAAAUCCCAAAAUUUAUCAAUAUUAUAUCACAUCCACCACACCACCGCAUAAUUAUUCCUGUGACACACGUCGUGCCGCAUGCCACACCAACAGACUGCAAGUCAUCUUUCCCUAUAAUUCUUGUUGCAUUAUAUGCUUCUCAAAUUUCCAUGAACAAACCAACUAUAUUAUAUAUCUGCGCUUCAUGUCCUAUGCAUUAAUCCAUGUGCGAACGUGAAGAGAUGCCUUGCAUUGGAAAAUUAAUAAAUUCAUUAAAAACUUAUAUGGAAUUGGAUUAUUUCUCCCAUUACUAAUUGAUUUUAAAUUAGAACAUCAACUUCUUUCAUAGUAUUAGAGUCAGAUUCUCGACUUGACAAACCCAUAGAUUAAGCUAAACCGAAUUACGUGACAGUUUUCAUCUCAGUAUUGAUCAAAGAGUUAACAGUACAACACAAAAUAUAAUUAAAUUCUUCGAGUGGUGCAGAGGAGAAAAUUUUGAAGUUUAUGAAAAUAGAAAUUUGGUAGUGAAAUUCUCAAUUAUUAUCUCAAUGUCAAUAAUGUAUUAUUAGUGCUAUUAUGAUAUUUUCACCGGAUUCAAUUCUCUUUCUAUAGAUGACAAUGAAGCCCACUAGCGGCUCAUGGAUGGCAAAAAUCUCAGCGGAGGUGGAUCUCUGUUGGAUCCCAAUUCUAACGAGAGGAGAUUUCGGGACUAAACGGAUAUUAAGUAUGAGGAUUCCUGAACUUGAAAAAUCCCUGACGUGUAUUUGGAGGAGAUAGUAUUGGCGUUCCCAUCCCCGAACCCAACCCAAAAAUAUAUAUGUUUAUAUAAAUAAAUAAAUAUAAAAUUAUAAUAUUUAUGUUUAAUCCUAAGUUAACCUUCCU